rnacentral:rRNA from 1 species
GUGGUAAUGCCGGAUGCUCCGGUUGGAUGCAUGUCCUUCCGGGAAAGAUUCCAUCGGUAUGGGAUGGGGUCGCGUCCUAUCAGCUUGAUGGCGGGGUAACGGCCCACCAUGGCUUCGACGGGUAGCCGGCCUGAGAGGGCGACCGGCCACAUUGGGACUGAGAUACGGCCCAGACUCCUACGGGAGGCAGCAGUGGGGAAUAUUGCACAAUGGGCGCAAGCCUGAUGCAGCGACGCCGCGUGCGGGAUGGAGGCCUUCGGGUUGUAAACCGCUUUUGAUCGGGAGCAAGCCCUUCGGGGUGAGUGUACCCUUCGAAUAAGCACCGGCUAACUACGUGCCAGCAGCCGCGGUAAUACGUAGGGUGCAAGCGUUAUCCGGAAUUAUUGGGCGUAAAGGGCUCGUAGGCGGUUCGUCGCGUCCGGUGUGAAAGCCCAUCGCUUAACGGUGGGUCUGCGCCGGGUACGGGCGGGCUGGAGUGCGGUAGGGGAGACUGGAAUUCCCGGUGUAACGGUGGAAUGUGUAGAUAUCGGGAAAGAACACCA